UAGGGGCCUUCGGUGGCUCAGUGUGUAGCGCGCCUGACUCACAUCCCGGAGAUCUCGGGUUCGAUUCCCGACUCAACCCUGGCCUGCGCUUUCCCAUUUUUCCUUUCCUACCACCUCCCAACAAAAAUUCCUUCCUUCUCUCUCUUCUCUUCUUCCAGUAUAUACGCAUAAAAACUGAAUUUACACUCUAAUAUAACCUGUUGUUGGCCCGAAUACAUGACCCACCCCAGAUCAUUACGGCCAUUUAAAUAUUAAGAAUACAAUACAAUUUCCGUUAGAUUUAGAUGGACGUGUGCGCUGAUAGUUUUGGGGGGUUGCGAUCGGGCUGGCAAGUCGACCUAAGCGAAGAUGUUGAUGAACGCGUUGGACGAUCUACGGAUUCCUGUGAAAGCCCGAGCUUUUCCGAACAGAAAGACUCCUGUUGGAGCUAUGUUAAAUAGUUUCCUGUCAAAAGAAAUAAAUGUGCCACCAGAGGCAGCUCACUUAUUGUUCUCUGCGAAUCGAUGGGAGUGCAAGGAGGACAUUGAGAAGACACUUCUGGUGAUGGACAGAUACACAGCGUCUGGUGCUGCAUAUACAGCAGCCAACACUGGCAGAAGUCUCAACUGGUGUCAACAACCUGACAUAGGGCUUCCAAAGCCAGAUUGCGUGGUGUUUCUCAAGGUUUCCAAGUGACAGCAAGAACAGCGUAGUAAUUGGGGAAAAGAAAGAUCAAGAUGAAUCGGCUGUGCACAGUGAAAUACUGCAAAAGGCACUAUCAGUCAUCCAAGAGGGCGGAGGGGCGGGUGGUGGUGGGGGAGGCGGCAAGGGCACCACGUCGUUUAUCCUGUCGGAGGAUAACUGUAUACGGAAGCAUACGCGCUUCAUCAUCGAGUGGCCGCCCUUCGAAUACGCCGUCCUGCUCACCAUCAUCGCCAAUUGCGUAGUCCUUGCCCUCGAGGAGCAUCUGCCGAGUUCUGACAAGACCAUACUCGCACAAAAACUCGAGUCCACGGAGAUCUAUUUCCCCGGGAUUUUCUGCGUCGAGGCGAUCGAUUUUCUGCCUCAAGAUCCUCGCUCUCGGCUUCGUCCUCCACCGCGGCUCCUACCUGCGCAACAUCUGAAACAUCAUGGACUUCUUCGAUAUGGACCUGCGCACGUUGCGUGCGAUACGCGUGUUGCGACCGCUCAAACUUGUCUCCGGCACACCGAGUGAGUAGCGCAUCAGUACAGAAAUUAGAAAACGUCGAGCAUCGGUUGAGUUUAAAACUCGGGGUUGCUCGG